AUGAGGACUAGAAUUUGUAUCUGUGUAUUAUCUGAUUUUUCUAUUUUAAAUAAAGAAGGAUCUGCUGUUAACAUAUUUCUCACCAUUCCUACUGGGCAACCACGAUUUGUUUUGUUGCAGAAUAUGGAAAGCCUCAGUUCCACACCAUCUCAUGAGAGGGCUGGACCUGAUGAUGUUGAACUGAUAUCCGAUGAAAGCAAAGAAAAUGAAAAAAACGGCAGACAUACCCAGCGUUUUGAGAAGAAGAAGAAGAAGAAAACUUUCCAGUGAUUCCUAAUCUUCGUUGGACAUUGUCCUGAUUUCCCGACGGGGUCACUCCGUAGCAUCUGUUGAGUCCUGCCGCGUACGUGUACUGUGCUGGGAGCUACGAGUCAGGAACAGCUGCAGUCCCUACCCACCUUGGAAUUCUACAAUCUAGGAGGUUAGGAAUCUAAAAGCUGUGGACCCCCUUCUUAGAAAAACACACACUCAUGUACCAUUUGGCAUGAAAUUGGUAGAAAUGAGCCACCACCUCCCUGCCAAUCCCCGCCAGUGCUGUGGACUCCUCCUGUUCCCUCUCUUCAGUUCUUGUCAUGUCUGCUUCCUCAGCGCAGCCAGGUAAUGGGAGGGGAAUGCUUCCUCUUUCUGACUUUGCAGCUGCGAAGCCUCUUCUUCCAUCUCUUUUCCCCCCCUUCCUUUAAGCUUCCUUCUUUGGGACCCAGGCAACCAGCGGACAUUUUCCCCUGACACCAGGUACCUUUUUUCCAAAGCACAGGUUCCCCAUGAUAGCGUCUCUUUAUUUUCCUUCUUGUUUCAUCCUCUGUCUGCUUUUUUCCUCUGCUCACAGCAAGCCCUUCCUCAUCACGCCAUUGAACAUGACUUUAAAGAAGAUUGCUUUGCCAGCCUCCUAGAGAGGUCUUGUCAGUUUCUCCCUUUUAUGUCUGUUCUCCUUUAUGCGAUAAAAGGGUAUAGAGCAACCUUUGUGGGUGGACUUCAUAACAUUAACUCAUAAAUUCCAGGUGGCACCCAAACUAAAUCCGUGCUGAACUCAGCUUGCCUUGGUAUGUUUGUGGACAGCUCCCAUGGCAGUGGAUGAAUCAUGGGGAAAAAAAUCUCAAAUCCUGCUUCCAUGUGCCAGGUCCUAUUCUUACAUGUAUCAGCCAUGUGCAAGUGCCAGUCAGCACCCACCCCACCUCUGGCACCCCUUAAGCAUUCGCUAUUAAUAAUCAUGGUCAUCAUCAUACAUUCAGCUAGGAGAUAAAAUUAAGCAGUGAGUUAACAGGCAGCCUAAGCUCUCCGUGUCACCUUUCUUUUACAACUGCCCCAAAGGAGAAAAACAAGGCAUCACUCCACAAGAUUGGGAUGAUACUUCUACUCGGGAAGGCAUGUGCUUCUUUCACUGAAGGAUAUAUGUAUAUAUUUAAUUAUUAGUGACGGACCAUGAAAAGAUCUAUUUUCCCUUUUUAAAGCCUUUUCCCUUCUUUACAGUGCGGUAUCGUUGUACUGUUUAAUGUGUGCAGCACUUUCUAGAGCUUACUAAACAACCUAAACAGUUAAUCUGGUGUUCUGGUAUUAUCACAAUAAUUCCUGAAUUUCAGAGAUGAAAAAUAAGUCUAGACUUUGGUUACCCCUCCUAGAAUUCUGCCUAAGCAGUGUUUUAUGUCACGUCUCCUGUACCGUCAGGUUGAGAAGCCAGCGUUUAUGUGCCCACUGUGGAUGGCUCCAAUAAGGUUUCCAGUUUCAUUUUUCAUGUAGACAGUUGGUCCUCACUAAUACCGUCCUUUAAAAUUUUCCUUAUGGGGCACCUAGGUGGCUCACUCGUUAAGCGUCUGCCCUCAGCUCAGGUCAUGAUCCCAGGGUCCUGGGAUCGAGUCCCGCAUCAGGCUCCCUGCUCAGCUGGGAGUCUCCUUCGCCCUCUCCCACUCCCCCUGCUUGUGUUCCCUCUUUCGCUGUUUCUCUCUCUCUCUCUGUGUGUCAAGUAAAUAAAUAAUAUCUUAAAAAAUAAAAAAAAUAAAAUUUUCCUUAUAAGUUCUUUGAUUCAGGUAAGAUUAAGACAACAGAUGCCAGCCAUUGAGGAAACAUGGUCUUUCCUGUUUUGACUAGCAUUUCCAUGAGAACGUGGGACAUUAAACCCAGUCUCAGAAAUGCUCCUCAGAGGGACACAUAAGCAGAGAGAGGCUAUCCUUAGAAUCUGCGGUUCAAAUGCAAAUGCAGGCACAACUGUGACUUUAUUUUUAAAGUAAGCAUUUUGCAGCCCUAAAUUUGUUUCCGUAUGAAUGCAUGUGCUGAAAAGUGAAUAUGGGUCCCCUUCAUUGUAUGUCUUUUUAAUUUUUUUAAUCAACUAAUCUACCCACAAAGAGAAUCUGCUCGAGACCUCAGAUGGUCAGUAAAAAAAAAAGUUAACAGUCCAUUCAAAAUGCCAAAAAUUAAAGUAUGAUUUCCAUGGGUAGGUUUUCGAAAGGUUGGCAUCUUAAUAAAAUAUCCCUUUUGGGCUCUAUGAAAUGAGCUAAUGUAAGGAAGAGCCUAGGGUACUAUUCCUUGAAUAUGUUGGAGUCCAGAGUCUGUCCUUUUGUUUCUUUUUAAACUCAGUGAACGUCUGGCAGUACCCAGAAGAAAGGUCAUCCCUAAAGCUAGCAAUUUCUAGAUUACAAAAGAUAUCACUGAAAAUGCAGAUUGUCAACGUUCUGUUUACAAUAGAGCUUAACACUUAUCCUUCAGUUUGAUUCCUUCUGAUAAGUUAUUUUUUGUUGUGGAAAUAUUUCAUGCUUCUGUAUGAAAUCCAGAAUAUUAAAACUGUAACCUUAUAUUAAUCUGUUUAUCAAGAAAGCAAAACCUUUAAGAAUUAUUGAGUGCAUAGAAGGGUAUUACCUUAUCUGGGAGAGGUCAUUUUAUGUCAGAAGUACAAGGUUAAUGAAGUGUUAAAUUCUUUCGCAAAAUUUUUACAUUCUUUAUGCUUUCUAAGCCUACUGCUUAGAAGAGCUUAGAAGCAUACCUUUAUAACAAAUAAGACAUUCAUAAUAAACAAAAGGCCAUUUCCCUUUUUAUCCAGCAUUAAAACAAAAGUAAAAAGAAGGGAGAGAGAGAAAGAAGACAAGGCUUUCCACUCAAGACUAAGCAUUAAUAUUAAUUAUCAAACAUCUUAAGUGUAGGCUUUUAUUUGCCCUGAGCAGGUUUGAGCUAAAUUCUGAAAUAUCCUGUCAACAAGUAUUUAUGAAAUGAAUCACUGUGUUAUUUCAACUUCACUGUACUCCACGGAAGCGUUAGGAUUUUGUUACUGGUUUUAAUGUUAAAACCAGAAUAAUUUAAAAGCUCUGUUUAUUUAGAUUCACUUCCCAUUUCAUCCAGUCUCUAAAGGCUACUGAAGCUUUGCAAUUCACAUGAAUUUUGGAACUGUGUUAUGUCCAUUUUCCUUUAUUGUCAGGCCAAACUGUGAAUGUUUAUGGUUCCAUGUGGUUCUUGUGUUANUGUCCAUUUUCCUUUAUUGUCAGGCCAAACAGUAAAUGUUUAUGGUUCCAUCUGGUUCUUGUGUUGCCGCUGUGUGGUUCCUUCCUGUGCAAACUGCAUUACACAGUGCACUCUCUGAUAGCAUCACUCCUGGCUCUGGGAAGCUCUUAGGCUACUUAUUUAUAUCCUGUCGCAGGGAGGGAGAAGGGAUGAACAAAAAUUCACCAACUAUUUGAAGUCAGGAUAGGAGCAAGAUCAGUGAAGUCUGAGGACUGAAAAAGCCAGGUCCAGUUAGACAGGGGCACGUCUUGACAAAGAUCAGGUGAAUAGACUAAUAGUCAAUGGUUCCUUAAUGGUUCCUGAAUAUGGACUGUUACCCGAGGCCACAGGCAAGGUGAGCUCUCUGAGUAUUUGCUCCCUAGCAGCCUGUUUUUUUCUGUUAUAACAUGUGUGACAUAGGCACUUACACGUUCAAUGUCUUUCUUCCUCACUGAAUUCCAUACCUUGUUAAUUCCUGUAAUCCCAGUGCCUAGGACACUGUAUGUGUUCACUAAACACUUGCAGAUGAACGAAUGUGAAAGGGAGGUAAUAAAUAAUUGGAAAUAGCAUUUUUUUCUCAGCUACUAUGGGCUAGCCAUUUUUUUUUUUUAAAGAUUUUAUUUAUUUAUUUGACAGAGAUACAGACAGUCAGCGAGAGAGGGAACACAAGCAGGGGGAGUGGGAGAGGAAGAAGCAGGCUCAUAGCGGAAGAGCCUGAUGUGGGGCUCGAUCCCACAACGCCGGGAUCACACCCUGAGCCGAAGGCAGACGCUUAACCGCUGUGCCACCCGGGUCCCCCUCCAUGAAUGAUUCUUAAAAACAUGGUACUGAGGGAAAGAAAACACACAGAACAAUACAUUCUAUUUUUGUAAAACCCCCAAAUAUGUAAAAACUAAGCUAUAUCGGUGGGGGAUACAUACUUAGUACAAUUACUCUGAAAAAAAGAAUAAGAAGAAAUGAUUACCGUAACAGGAUAGGGUUAUCUAUGAGAAGAGGGAGGAAGUUGUGAUUUUGCAGGGAAAGUGGGAGGGGUGCAUCUGGGAAGCUGGAAAUGUUCUAAUGUUAUUUCUUUUUUUUUUUUUUUAUAAUUAAUUUUAUUUUAUUAUAUUAUGUUAAUCACCAUACAGUACAUCCCCUGAUUCUGAUGUAAAGUUUGAUGCUUCAUUAGUUGCGUAUAACACCCAGUGCACCAUGCAAUACGUGCCCUCCUUACUACCCAUCACCAGUCUAUCCCCUUCCCCCACCCCCUCCCCUCUGAAGUCCUCAGUUUGUCUCUCACAGUCCAUAGUCUCUCAUGUUUCAUUCCCCCUUCUGAUUACCCCCCUUUUCUUUAUCCCUUUCUUCCCCUACCGAUCCUCCUAGUUCUUAUGUUCCAUAGAUGAGAGAAAUCAUAUGAUAAUUGUCUUUCUCUGCUUGACUUAUUUCACUUAGCAUUAUCUCCUCCAGUGCCGUCCAUGUUGCAGCAAAUGUUGAGAAUUCGUUCUUUCUGAUAGCUGAGUAAUAUUCCAUUGUAUAUAUGGACCACAGCUUCUUAAUCCAGUCAUCUGUUGAAGGGCAUCUCGGCUCCUUCCAUGAUUUGGCUAUUGUGGACAAUGCAGCUAUGAACAUUGGGGUGCAUAUGGCCCUUCUCUUUACUACGUCUGUAUCUUUGGGGUAAACACCCAGUAGUGCAAUGGCUGGGUCAUAGGGUAGUUCAAUUUUUAACUUUUUAAGGGACCUCCACACUGUUUUCCAGAGUGGCUGUACCAACUUGCAUUCCCACCAACAAUGUAGGAGGGAUCCCCUUUCUCCACAUCCUCU
rnacentral:lncRNA from 1 species